UGCAUACGAUCCAAGAAGACAUUCUCUUCAGUAGCAAAUUCAUCAUGGUCAGAGGUUCUUUUAGGAUUGUCCGUAGUUGAUUGCAAAUUUGAGAAUAUGGAAUGAAGAUAAUAUGUACCGUACACAACUUAUGGGAAAUGUAAACCCACAACAUGGUACAUUUGCUGUGAAGUCGGUCUGGAUCACUUUCAAGGACUCAGAGAAUAUAUCCCACAGAACAAGACCGAAAAAAAAUGGUGAUUCUCCAAAGGCCACCAGUGAAGCAGUGAUGGAAGUUUGUAG
rnacentral:lncRNA from 1 species